rnacentral:rRNA from 1 species
AUACGGAGGAUGCAAGCGUUAUCCGGAUUUAUUGGGUUUAAAGGGUGCGUAGGCGGGCUGUUAAGCGUGAGGUGAAAGCUCGGGGCUCAACCCCGGAACUGCCUCGCGAACUGGCGGUCUUGAAUGUCCGUGCCGUGGGAGGAAUGUGUGGGGUAGCGGUGAAAUGCAUAGAGAUCACACAGAACACCGAUUGCGAAGGCAUUUCACGAACGGAUGAUUGACGCUGAGGCACGAAAGCGGGGGGAACAAACAGGAUUAGAUACUCUGGUAGUCCACGCCGUAAACGAUGAUGACUAACCGCCGGCGAUAGAGUGUUCGGUGGCCAAGCGAAAGCGAUAAGUCAUCCACCUGGGGAGUACGACCGCAAGGUUGAAACUCAAAGGAAUUGACGGGG